rnacentral:rRNA from 1 species
CCUACGGGGUGCAGCAGUGGGGGAUAUUGCACAAUGGGGGAAACCCUGAUGCAGCGACGCCGCGUGGGUGAAGAAGCGCCUCGGCGCGUAAAGCCCUGUCAGCAGGGAAGAAAAUGACGGUACCUGAAGAAGAAGCCCCGGCUAACUACGUGCCAGCAGCCGCGGUAAUACGUAGGGGGCAAGCGUUAUCCGGAUUUACUGGGUGUAAAGGGGGCGCAGACGGCGAUGCAAGCCAGGAGUGAAAGCCCGGGGCCCAACCCCGGGAAUGCUCUUGGAACUGCGUGGCUAGAGUGCAGGAGGGGCAGGCGGAAUUCCUGGUGUAGCGGUGAAAUGCGUAGAUAUCAGGAGGAACACCGGUGGCGAAGGCGGCCUGCUGGACUGCAACUGACGUUGAGGCCCGAAGGCGUGGGGAGCAAACAGGAUUAGAUACCCGGGUAGUC